AAAAAAAUCUGGAAAUACUAUAACAGCAGGAACCCAUUUAUUUUUGGGGAAAAAUUAAGUUUGUUUGGAGAAAGGAUGAGUACAGGUGAGUUUUAUUUUCUUUCCACUAUUCAUACUUUUAAUAAGAUUGUUUCUCUUGCAGACUUUGGUCAAAAUCAUUACCAUCAAAUUUGAGAGGAGAAUUACAUACAAACUGUGCUGAAAAUGUUGAAAUGAACGAUUCUCUAGUUCAUUUCUAUUGUACCAGCAUGUUUGAGCCCUGAUAACGUAACAUGAACAUUACAUCUUUUUGUGCGAGCGAAUUCCUGUGGUGGAAACAUGGGUUGACCGUGGAGGCAUGUGCCUGAGACAUCUAUACGAAGGAGUUUAUCGUGAAGUGCUUAAAUAACAUUGUCGCGGAAAAUAUUUAUUGACGGACUCCAUUGAGUAGACGGAUUCAGAAGCAUUCUGUAUAUAGACAGCUGAAGCGCUGAAGUAUUAAAAACAUAUUUAUUUUGGUUCAACUUACAAAAGCAAUGUUCUAAUUGAAAUAAAAUGAACGUAUGUUACUGUAGGCUUAACGAUUUACCUUACACACUUACCGUAAGUUUUUAUUGUUGUAUGCUCGAUUUAAGUAAAAUAUUGUAAAACAACAACAGAUUGUAAAACAACAACACAUGCUUGAAUACUGAAAUUUGUUAAAAUGGAA